rnacentral:rRNA from 1 species
AGGACGAACGCUGGCGGCGUGCUUAACACAUGCAAGUCGAGCGGUAAGGCCUCCUUCGGGGGUACACGAGCGGCGAACGGGUGAGUAACACGUGGGUGACCUGCCCUCAGCUCUGGGAUAAGCCUGGGAAACCGGGUCUAAUACCGGAUAGGACUGCUUGCCGCAUGGUGGGUGGUGGAAAGUUUUUUCGGCUGGGGAUGGGCCCGCGGCCUAUCAGCUUGUUGGUGGGGUGAUGGCCUACCGAAGGCGGUGACGGGUA